UUCGCAAUGCCCGAAAGGGUGACGAAGCGACGCCGCGUGUGGGAAGAAGGCCUUCGGGUUGUAAACCACUGUUGGGAGUUAGGAAGUGUGGAGGUGUUAAUAGCGCUUUCACUUGACUAAAGCUCCAGAGGAAGCCACGGCUAACUCUGUGCCAGCAGCCGCGGUAAUACAGAGGCGGCAGGCGUUGUUCGGAAUUAUUGGGCGUAAAGAGCACGUAGGCGGCUCUGCAAGUCAGCUGUGGAAGCCUUCUGCUUAACGGAAGAACGGCAGUUGAAACUACAGGGCUUGAGUGCGGGAGGGGAGAGUGGAACUUCUGGUGGAGCGGUGAAAUGCGUAGAUAUCAGAAGGAACGCCGGCGGCGAAAGCGGCUCUCUGGUCCGUAACUGACGCUGAGUGUGCGAAAGCUAGGGGAGCAAACGGGAUUAGAUACCCCGGUAGUCCUAGCCGUAAACGAUGGGCACUAAGUAGAGGGGUUUU
rnacentral:rRNA from 1 species